CGGAGCUAGAAUAGAGGAGUGUGAGGGAAGAAUGAAGGGAAAGGACGGGGGUAGCAAAAUCGAGUUAGUGGUAUGAAGGGAAAGGACUGGAGCACAUAACAGAGGUAGAAUAAAAGGAGGAAUAGAAUACAAAGGGAAAAGGCUGGCAAACAUAAGAGGUAGGAUAAAGUAGAGUAAAGGAAAGGACUGGGGAACAUAAUGAAGAAGAGAAGAGGGAAGAAGGAAUGAGGAAGAUGGAGAUGGGAGAGUAAAGAAGAAAUGGGGAAGAUGAAGAAGACAGAAAGAUAGGAAAUGAAAGGAAAAUAAGGAAGAAAAACAAGAAAGGGCUGGAGGAAACAAAACAGAGGAGGUAGAAUAACGUAAAACGAAGCUAAAAUAAAGAAAAGCAGGGAAACUAAUAAAAGUAGAAUUAAGUUAGAAAAAAAGGAUGCAGGAAAAACAAAGUAGCCAGGGAAGAAUAAUGAGAAAGGGUUGAGAGCAUAAUAGAGGUAGAAUAAAGUAGAGUAGAGGAGGAAUAGAGGGAAAGAGCUGGGAUACAUAAUAGACAGAAUAAGGAAAAGGGUUGGGAACAUAAUUAAAGGUAGAAAAAAGUAGAGUAGAGGAGGAAUAGAGGGAAAGAGCUGGGAUACAUAAUAGAAUAAGGAAAAGGGUUUGGAACAUAAUAGAGGUAGAAAAAAGUACAAUAAAUAAAGAAAAAAGGAAAAGAGCUGGGAAACAAAGGGAAGAAUUAAGGAAAAGGGUUGGGAACAUAAUAGAGGUAGAAAAAAGUACAAUAAAUAAAGAAAAAAGGAAAAGAGCUGGGAAACAAAGGGAAGAAUUAAGGAAAAGGGUUGGGAACAUCAUACUAUAAGUGGCAAAAUAAAGAAGCAUAAAGGAAGAAUAAAGGAGAAAAGUAAACAAAACAGCCACGUGAACAAGAGGUAGAAAAUAUCAAGGCAAGAGAACACGGCUUCAUAUACGCAACUUCAUGGGAAAGGGGGGCAGGGGGGCAGUGGUAAGGGCGUGACAUCCUUAAGGACCCGGGUUCAAAUCAGUCAUUGCCGAGUGGCCUAAGACUACCCACAUGCUGUCCUAAAGACCAACUACCAACCUGGACUCUUAAGUUAAAUAUCUAAAGAGGGUAAAAAAUUAGCUCUGGGGGACAGUAUGAGACAAGCAAGAUGAUGGUAUUAUUAAAAAACACUUGCCUGGACCUUAACAGACUGGGGCGGACCAUCAGGCCUUGCCAAGAAAGCCUACCAGCACCAUAGACUGAGUAGGAAUAGAAAGAGAGAGUAAGCAUGGACUGGGAUUUGAGGGAACAUGACCAGAGUACAAGAGUGUGAGGGAGUGGAACUGUGACAACAUGUGUAUAAUAAAUGGCUUUCCACUGGCAUAAAAAGCUAAAGAGAGUCAGUCACACAGGUUAAGAGAGUGGGAGAGUACAGCUGUGACAAUAUAUAUGACUUUUCACUUGUCUAAACAGCUACAGAAAGUCACACAGGUUAAGAGAGUGAGAGAGUACAGCUGUGACAAUAUAUAUGACUUUCCACUUGUCUAAACAGCUACAGAAAGUCACACAGGUUAAGAGAGUGGGAGAGUACAGCUGUGACAAUAUAUAUGACUUUCCACUUGUCUAAACAGCUACAGAAAGUCACACAGGUUAAGAGAGUGAGAGAGUACAGCUGUGACAAUAUAUAUGACUUUCCACUUGUCUAAACAGCUACAGAAAGUCACACAGGUUAAGAGAGUGGGAGAGUACAGCUGUG